rnacentral:misc_RNA from 1 species
AACGCAAAUUGCACUCUCUGGCAACCCGGAGAGUAUGCCUGUUUGAGGGUCAGUGUUAAUAAAAAUCGGUGCGUUGCAAUUUUUUUUGUGAUGUUUCCGGAGUUUGAGUUAUCUUAAAUAACUCUUCUGAGUUUUUAAGAGGCUUAAAAUUGACCUUUUUUGUGCAUUUUAGACGUACAUAAAUUUUUUUUUAUUCGUCCAUCUUAAUGCCAAAAUCUAAUAGAUGCGACCAUAUCAUGUGGUUUCGUGUCCAUAAAUUUUUCAUGAUUUGACCUCAAAUCAGGUAGGAACACCCGCUGAACUUAA